UACGUAGGGUGCGAGCGUUAAUCGGAAUUACUGGGCGUAAAGCGUGCGCAGGCGGGCUUUUAAGCCAGACGUGAAAUCCCCGGGCUUAACCUGGGAAUGGCGUUUGGGACUGGAAGUCUGGAGUGCGGCAGAGGAGAGUGGAAUUCCUGGUGUAGCGGUGAAAUGCGUAGAUAUCAGGAGGAACACCGAUGGCGAAGGCAGCUCUCUGGUCCAAAACUGACGCUGAGGUGCGAAAGCGUGGGGAGCGAACGGG
rnacentral:rRNA from 1 species